rnacentral:lncRNA from 1 species
AAGUGUUUAUUUCCUUCCCAGCCAAAAUAGCUCACCACCUCUAUACCCUCACGUGCUGGCCACAUGUUGCUAGCUUUCAAGCUAACCCUGCCCUGAAACCUAUGCCCCUUUCCACACUCUCCUGCAAUAUGGAGACACAUUGCCUCCCAUGAAACUUUACUACCCUACCCAGCUUCACGUUCAUCCACUCUGACAGGUUCUCCAAAGCAACCUAUAACUUUUCAUCUGAAGCAAACAAAAAAAGUACAAGGGUAAUCCCUUGCUGCCUACAUUAUAUGAAUACACCAUGCAGGUUCUGUGACAGCAAUGGUGAUUUAUGUAGACUACGGGCUAAUCAGUGAACUACAAGACAUUGAAAGAUAUGGGAGUAAGGCGAGUCGGGGGAGGAGAUGUAAAGUGGUUUCCAGACAACAAACAGAUGCCACCAAGCGGAGUUCAAGCAGGAACAAUCUACAAUAGGUCCAUAGAUCAUUCUCGGGUAACAUAACAAAACUAGAUAACCUAUAUAUGUCUACAUCAAAGUUAAUAUAUCCAUUAUCCUGCACAGAACAAGUGAAGAUUUAAAAUAAACAGCAGAAAGUUUCCAAUAUGUUCAACAAGGCAUACAUAAAAAUCAGUAAUUAAGACUAAUGUAGGCAGAUAUGAAGAUCUCGCAACUACACGAACAAAAAAUAUCAAACCUUGCAAACCAAGUAGCGUCUCCAUUCACUGUACUGAAAGAAACAAUUCAUUCUAUUCGCACCAGGUUGAUAAAAGACAAUGCCACAAGGUUAAUAAUAAAAGAAAAUAGAACAACCGGUAUUCUGAUAAAGACGGUAGAACCUGAAACGAUUGCCAAUAAAUUCAAAUUUAUCAUCAAGAGUGACUCAUACUCCAUGCAUGCUGCUCAUUAGACAUUAAUCCAACCUAGAGACCAAGGCAUUCAUACAUGCACAUAGUACUAGAUUUUUUAUCUGCCUCAGAACAUAAAUUAAACGUAACUUUAUCCACUUCUCCUUGUAUACACGGUAGCAUCAAAACUUUUUUCCUCAUCAUUGCAGAUUAAUAUUCACACUACAAUAAAAGCUUUGAUAAAUUGGAUUUGAAUGUCCCUAGAACUUCAAUAAAAUGAACCUCACACAAUUAAAUGACUAAACGAAGUUUUAUUUUUCUGGAAAAUGAGAUUUUAGAUAAGGACAAAACCUUUUCUCCCUUGGUCAAGUCCAUCGAUGAGCCAUCAGAAGCAGGCACCAUUCACCAAGAUAAAUGACUAGAAAAAUGGUAACACUAUAGUUUCCAUAAAUCAAGUUUGCAAAUGAAAAAGUAAUAAUUGACAGUAGAACAUGUAAUGGAAGUGUAAUUGAUGCAGGUGCUACUACUAUUAUGUUAUUUUAUUAAUUCAAUCUCAUUUAUUAAUUAUUAGACAUAUAGAUCGAUGGCUAAGAUCAUAAGAUAUCAUUAAAGUUCAAAUCUAGGUCUCGGAUUAAAGCUUUAUUUGUAACCCUACGUCCAACAUGAUAAUUCUGGAGAAUUUCUAGAGCUGUCAGGCAUGCCUCCAAAGUCUUCAAUGGAGAACUAACAUGAAUUGUGAAUGAAGGUUUUAUUUUCAAUUACAAACAAGCACUUCUAGCUUUGCUUAUCUGCAUCACCUAAACAAGUUAAUUUCAUUGUACUAAGUCUUUGUUUUCACUUAAUUCAAUAUACAAACAAGUUAAAUCUCAAAGCUCCAAGAUGAAAACGUCGAAAAUAUAUAAUCUAAUCUCAGAAGUAUCAAAGAUGAAUGGACUAAAUUUUCCACUAUUAUAACUUGCAGAUAUCUUGCAGUCUCAAGGAAGAAUGAUCGUGGAUUUACAUCCCGCUAAAUUUCCCAAGGCUAGGUGAUGCAAUUGAAAAUGCAAAGAUCUGAAAAGUGCUGAGUCAGAGCUUUUGAGGCAACAUGAAGUUCGCAAAUCUAGCACAAUUACUAGACCAUGAACAUGACUAAACAAUCUAAAAUAACGCUGUAUUUUCU